GGCUGUCUGUCCAAGCAUACACAGUGUU
rnacentral:piRNA from 1 species